AGAGUUUGAUCCUGGCUCAGAACGAACGCUGGCGGCAGGCUUAACACAUGCAAGUCGAGCGCCUCGCAAGAGGAGCGGCAGACGGGUGAGUAACGCGUGGGAAUCUACCCAUCUCUACGGAACAACUCCGGGAAACUGGAGCUAAUACCGUAUACGUCCUUCGGGAGAAAGAUUUAUCGGAGAUGGAUGAGCCCGCGUUGGAUUAGCUAGUUGGUGGGGUAAUGGCCUACCAAGGCGACGAUCCAUAGCUGGUCUGAGAGGAUGAUCAGCCACGCUGGGACUGAGACACGGCCCAGACUCCUACGGGAGGCAGCAGUGGGGAAUAUUGGACAAUGGGCGAAAGCCUGAUCCAGCCA
rnacentral:rRNA from 1 species